GCUAAGCACUUACAACUGUUUGCAGAGGAAACUGAGACUUUGCAACUAUGUCUCAGUCUCAUCUGCAAAGAAGUAAGUGCUUUGC
ensembl:miRNA microRNA 452